GUAAAGAACUACAUUUCCCAUCAUUCCCUGCCUUAUCAUCUGAUCUCGGAAGCUAAGCAGGGACGGGCCUGGUUAGUACCUGGAUGGGAGACCGCCUGGGAAUACCAGGUGUUGUAGGCU
rnacentral:rRNA from 1 species